CAGGGGCAGGAGCCCGCGGAGCAGGUGGGGCAACGGCCCCGCCUCCGCGUCCCGGCAGCCCCAGAGCCGGCGGCGACAAGGGAGCGGGGCGCACCGAGCGCAGGAGCACCGAGCUCAGCGGCACCGAGUGCAGUGUGGCCGCGGCGGCGGCGCCUGGAGCACCCGGGCUGCCACACGGAGCCCGGAGCCUGGAGGCGGCGGCGGCGGCGGGGACGUCGGCCGGAGCUUGAACCUCUCCGGCCCGCGGCACAGCUAGCUGCAGGGCAGAAACCAUUCUCCUGGGACCAUUCAGAAGCAAGAGACACCAACGCUGUGACAUAUGCCAGUGCCACCACCACCACCACCACCACCACCACCACCACCACCUCCUCCUCUGCCUCCACCUCCCCCACCCUCAGGGGCUCCUCCCCCUCCCCCACUGCCAGUGCCCCCGGUAGGUACAGACGCUUCCAGCUUGAGAAAGGCAGACCCCAAAAGUCGGAGUGCACUGUUGGCUGAUAUCCAGCAAGGAACUCGCCUACGGAAAGUCACACAGAUCAGUGACCGCAGUGCCCCACAGAUUGAGAGUUCUAAAGGAAUCAACAAAGAAGGAGGAGGGUCUGCAAACUCUCGAGGCGGAAGCACACCCCCAAGCCUGGGAGACCUGUUUGCUGGUGGCUUUCCUGUGUUGAGACCAGCCGGCCAGAGGGAUGUGGCAGGUGGCAAAACAGGGCAGGCCCCUGGCUCCCGCGCACCUUCUCCCCGGCUUCCCACGAAAACUCUCAGUGGCCCACUUAACCCUCCUGCUUCUCCCAGGCUAGGCAAUGCCUCUGAGGCUCAUGGCACCUCCAGGACAGUCCCUCCUCGCCCCAGCAUGCCUGCUCCACCGCCUCCCACCCCGCCCCCACCUCCUCCACCCCUACCCCCACCCCUACCCCCUUCCUCCCCCACCAAAGCUCCGCUGGUGUCCCCACCUGGCCCGCCCACCAAAGGGAACACCCCAGGGGUUGCACCCCCUCUCCCCUCUGCACCGCCCCCUCCCCCUCUGCCCCCACCCCUUCCCGCAACACCACCCCCACCCCCCCUGGCCUCUGUCCUCAGUGACAAGGCCAUGAAGCCUCAGCUAGCCCCCUUGCACCUGCCGCCCAUCCCACCCCCACUCCCUCUCCUCCCACCUUGUGGGUAUCCUGGGCUCACUGCCCAAGAUGUUCGGGAGCCUCCCGCCCCACCCCCUCCACCACCCCCACCCCCUCUUUAUGCCUCCUGUACCCCGAGGUCCUCUGUGCCUGUGCCUCCUUUGCCAGGAGCUAACAACAACAGCGAAGCCCCACUCCUGCUGCCCCCCAAGUCUCCCAGCUUCCAGGCCCAGCCACCCAAGUCCAGCAUGCAGGCCUUGCCAGCGCCACCAGCCCCUCCAGGAUCCCAGCCAUUCCUGCAGAAGAAGAGGCCCGGCCGAGGCCCAGGGACCAGUGGGGGGAAGCUAAAUCCACCCCCAGCACCCCCUGCGAGAUCACCCACCACGGAGCUUUCAAGCAGAAGCCAACAGGCCCCAGCCUGGACCCCGACACAGCAGCCUGGAGGUCAGCUGCGGAACGGAGGCCUGCAUAUCAUCGAUGACUUUGAAUCUAAAUUCACGUUUCAUACUGUGGAAGACUUUCCUCCUCCAGAUGAAUAUAAACCAUGCCAGAAGAUUUACCCCAGCAAGAUCCCCAGAAGCCGUACACCUGGUCCCUGGCUCCACGCUGAGGCAGCAGGGCAGAGCUCGGAUGACAUCAAAGGCAGAAAUUCUCAGUUAUCUCUAAAGACACUCCGGUGAGAAGACAGAUGAAGCCAAUGUCCUGUGAGCCGCCUGGGGGUCCAUAUCGCCAGAUGGGCAUCCCCAGGAGAACGUGUCUGGCCUCGCCAUACUUAAGUUUUAAUUCAGUUGACAUACAAGCUCUGAGUGGAGCAUUUAUUUAUUGUAAAUAUGUGGUUUGCACAGGCUUUAAAUCAGUAUGACCGUCGACUUUUAUUUGCAUAAUUUAAAAAACCGCACCCAUAUUAUGUUUCUCCAUUUUCUGAAGAUGCAUCUUGGCAUUCAUCUGUCAGUACAGAUAGAGCCCUGUCCCCACCCCAUGGUGUCCAUUCCAUGACUGUACAUAAUGCGUGCGGGCUGGCCCUUCCUAGAUUCAGAAACAUUUUGAGAAGAUUCCUUCGUUUGCAAGUAGUCCCAAAGUCAGAGUACCCACAGCCGCUUCUUAUUGGCAUGAUUCUAUAUUCUCAUCACGCACACUGCAAAAUCAAACCAAAUAAUGCCUUAUAAACGAUGCAGCUCAGAGACGGUAGUGUGUCCCCACACCCAGACAAUGCCACACAGCCUCCAGUGAACGAGAUGUCAUGUCUCGCUUCUGUUUUGCAGUACAGGGAUUUUAUUUUUGCUGCCUAAUGUAAAUAUGACGCAAAGGAAAGGCAAGCGUGGGCUCAGCCCCUCCGAUGCCAACCACAGGGCCCUUUUGUAACUGAAUGCUCCUGCCAGUAGCCAGUGUCCUUCCUGUUUACAGUGCCCCUGGUGCCCACGUGCCCGUGGCUUUCCUCCCAUCCUGCCUAACUUCCCGACUCCAUCCUGGCAGCCAGGGUAGGGUGAGAUUCGGGUACUUUUUUCUACAAGUUAGAAACAUCCGUAACUCAUUAUUAUAGUCAAUUACAUAUUCUAUCUCGGAGAUGGAUUGUUGUUUUUCUUCCCCCCGGAGAGCAGGAUUUUCACGGUAAAUAUGACACAAGGAAGUGUAGACUGAAGCCUAUUAGCAAGUAUCUGCCUCACCUACCUGGUGCCUCACUCGGACCCUUAGGAAACCUGGAAGCACCCGCCGGGCGAACCUAGCUCCCUUCUGAACUAAAGAGGACCUGAGGAGUCUGAGAGCUCCCCCUUCCCUGUGGGGGGCGCGCUUCUCUGUCGGAGAGAAGUGCCCAGGGCCAGCUCCCUCAGCAGAGGUAGAGAGAAGCUCUUUCACGACCAAAAGGGCCAGUCUGAGUGGAGAAGAAAAGCAGCGGCCCAAGAUAAUUGAUGAAGGGGAUGAAGGUCAAAGCCAUGGACUGCGGAGCUGAAGGAGCCAUACAUUUAGGCACCCCUGGUGGAGUGAAGAAGGGGGGAAGGUGGUAGCUACAAGGCUGAAGGAAGCAGCUUCAUGGGCAGGGCUGUGACCUGUGACCUCCAGGAGUGAAUUCCAGUUUCUCACAAGGGGCCCCAGAGGUUUGGGCGUCCUUCACGAAGCUGCUCUGUUACGGGUUGAAUUACGUCUUCCAAAAAUUUGUCUGUGGAAGUCCUAACCCCACAUCUCAGUGUAACCUUCUUUGAGAAUAAGGUUGUUGCAGAUGUAAUUCGUUAAGAUGAGGUCAUAACGCAGUAGGGUGGGCCCUAAUCCAGUCCAACUGGUGUCCUUUAAGAAGGGGGAUUUGGACACGGACACAGGGACGCUAUGUGAAGAUGACAGAUCGGGGUGAUGCUGCAGGCCAGCAAACCACCAGAAGCUAGGGGAGAGGCAUAGGACAGAUUCUCCCCCACAGCCCUCAGAGGGAACCAACCUCACGGACACCUUGGUUUUGGACUUCUCGCCUCCAGAACUGUGAGACAAUCCAUUUCUGUGGUUUGAGCCAAGCACUCUGUGGUAUUUUACGAUAGCAGCCCUAGCAAACGAAUGCGUGCUCUGUCGCUGUGGAGCUUUGUGGGAGAAUGUUAU